UACGUAGGGGGCGAGCGUUAUCCGGAAUUACUGGGCGUAAAGCGCACGCAGGCGGUUCGCCAAGUUUGGAGUGACAGUUGUCGGCUCAACCGACAAAAGGACUUCAAAAACUGGUGAACUUGAGGACGAGAGAGGAACAUGGAACUCCAGGUGUAGUAGUGAAAUGCGUAGAUAUCUGGAAGAACACCAAUGGCGAAGGCAAUGUUCUGGCUCGUUUCUGACGCUCAGGUGCGAAAGCCAGGGGAGCGAACGG
rnacentral:rRNA from 1 species